CGCCGCGAUUCAACAUUUCAACCCAACAGCGCCGCGCGCCUCCCGCCACGCCAGCUCCCUCAUGCCGCGCCCGCCGCCUGCUCGACGGGAUGCGACCGCCGCGCCCGAUCCCGCCGCCCUCGGCUUCCCUCUUCAACUCCCUCAUCGCCUCCCGCGCCCGCGCCGGCCGCUCGGCGGACGCCCUCUCGCUCCUCGCGCGCAUGCUCGCGGCAGGGGUCGCCCCGACCGCCUUCACCUUCGCGCCAAUCCUCUCAUCGCCUUCCGCCACCGCCUGCUGCGCCGCGCAGCUGCACCCGCACAUCCUCAAGAGAGGGCUGCUCCACGGCGAGCCUUACUCGGGGACCUCGCUGGUGGGGUUCUUCGGGCGGAGUGGACGGUUUGAUGGAGCGCUCAAGGUGUUCGGUGAAAUGACGGUGAGGAGCGUGGUCACCUGGAACUGUCUCAUCUCUUCGUUCGUGCAGUUUGGACGCUCCUGCGAUGCCCUUUUCUGGUUCAAGGAGCUCAUGAGAAGCGGAGAUGGCUUAUCAGACGGCUCUCUUGUUGCAGUAUUGCCUGCGUUUGAGUCACCGGAGCAAGUUCAUGGUCUCAUGAGGAGAAUCGGAAUGGAUUCCUUCUCAGCAGUUGCAAAUGCAUUGCUGAAUUCAUACUGCACUUGCGGUGCUAUAUAUGUGACAGAGAAGAUGUUCAAUGAGUUGGUGUUCAGAGAUGUGGCGUCUUGGAAUACAAUGAUAACCGGUUUUGCUAGGAGCAAUGUCCCAGAGAGAGCUUUUGAGCUUUUCUUAAGUAUGCAACUUUGGGGUGAUUCGCCUAAUGAAAUAACAUUUGCCAGCGUUCUUUAUGCCUGCACCAGUAUGAAUGGACAUGAGCAUGGGAAGUUUAUUCACGCAAAAGUUAUCAAGCGUAAUCUCAAUACAAGUGUGUUUCUCAACACCUCAUUGGUUGAUUUCUAUGCAAACUGUAUUGGUUGGAGGGAUGCACAUAAAGUAGUUGAAGAGAUUCCUGAGAAUAGCACCACGUGUUGGAAUGCUCUGAUUUCUUGUCACUCUGAUAGCGACGGUCCUACUACUUUGGUUAUUCUGAGAGGCAUGUUACGAUCAGGGAUUAAACCGAAUGAAGUUAGUUUUUCUGCAUCUCUCAAGGAUCCUUCUCUUUUGGAUCUCCAGCAGAUUCACUCAUUAGCGACAAGAUUGGGUCAUGGUGAUAAUGACUAUGUUUCAAGUGGUAUCAUAUCAUCGUAUGCUUCACAUGGCAUUGUUUCUGAUGCCUUGACUUAUGGAGUUGCACUGAAUCCUGAUUCUUGUAGUGUCUCCAUGAAUGUUUUAGCUGGAGUGUAUAAUAAAGCUCGCAUGUAUCAAGAAACUAAGGAGCUACUAUUACAUCAGCAAGCUAGAGAUACUACUUCAUGGAGCAUACUUAUUACUGCCUGCGCACGCAGUGGUGAUUAUCUUGAAGCUUUUGGAUUUUUCAAGCAGAUGAGAAUUAUGGGGUAUCAUGUCGAUAACUAUGUAUUUGUGAGCUUGCUGAGCAUUUGUACAAAAAACAACAGUCUUGAUCUUGGCAAGUCGAUUCAUGGACUUAUCAUCAAGACCAUUUCCGGUUGCUGUGACACUUAUGUUGAUAAUAUGUUGCUAGAUAUGUAUGCUAAAUGUGGUAGAAUUGAAGACUGUCUCAGAGCUUUUGAGGAAAUGAAAGAUAGGAACCUUAUCUCAUGGACAACCAUGAUUUCCGGCCUUGGGCUUAAUGGGUUCUCUCAUAAGGCCUUGGCAUGGUUUAAAGCCAUGGAAAAGGAUGGCUGCAAACCUGACAAAGUAGCAAUUCUAGCAGUUCUGUCAGCUUGUAGACAUGGUAGACUUGUGGAGGAGGGGAUGAAGAUAUUCAAAAUUAUGAAAGCUAAUUAUUCAGUUGAAGCUGAGAUGGAGCAUUACAUUUGUGUGGUGGACAUGCUGUGUAAGUGUGGUCAUUUGAAGGAAGCUGGGGUUGUGAUUAGAGGCAUGCCAUUCCGACCAAGUACUGUCAUAUGGCGCACAUUCCUCCAAGGAUGCAAGACAUAUGGUGUAACUGAAGUACAAGUGUUUUGCUAGCAGUGGAUCAAAUAGAAUUCCUCUUGAUAACUGUAGAGGUGUGGAGGUCACAAGGGAAGGGAAAAGUGCAUGCCCAAGUCUCCAAGAGAAGCUAAAUGAAAUUAGUACCAAUGUAGGUAUAUCCCAAGUGAGCAUGAAGGAUCUACUGUUAUAUUCGAUUCAGUUUAUUUACUGAAAAAGGGCACUUCCAUCCACGAGUGUGCCAAAAGUUGUCUUUUCGCGGUAUGGGAAGGUCAGCUGGUUGUUGCAAGUUAGGAUGUGGCUAAUCAGUUGCAAAGACUAUAAAGCACAAGUCUGGGACAGAGACACCUACUGACAAUCUGAGGUACCUGGGGCUUUUGACGAAGCAUGCACAUUAGCAAGGCAAUAAGGCUUAUAUAGCUUCCAAGCAAAGGCUUUUAUUGGCUAUUGCGUUUCCUUCCGGCUGGGCACUGUCUGCAUAGCGACAAAGGUGUUCGUUAAGUAAUUGUUGGUGAUGGGGCACUCUUGUCAUAAUACCUGAAAGGUGAUUUGGUCAAAGAAUUCAAAGCAUUUUCUCACUCAAGAUUUGAAAUUAUCUAAUUGGUGGUGCAGAUAUCUGCUAUUACUUAUCAAAAUGAGAUAGCAAAAUUUAUAGCUCUAGGUCACUCCAAUUUACCAAAUUACAAAAGUGGCAUUUUCCCUGGUGCAGCGCCGUGGUACAUAUGAAGCUUGUUUUUGUGAUCUAUAUACAUGCUUGAAGGACCCAUUUGCACUCAGGGAGCGACUUCUGGGGUGAUUGCCACAAUACCAUCUCUGUGGUACAUGCUUGAAGGCCUCAUCUCCACAAAUGCAGGCAGGAUCAGAUCACCCUACUAAUGGUUUGGGU